rnacentral:rRNA from 1 species
AUGCCCUGGCAGUCAGAGGCGAUGAAGGACGUGCUAAUCUGCGAUAAGCGUCGGUAAGGUGAUAUGAACCGUUAUAACCGGCGAUUUCCGAAUGGGGAAACCCAGUGUGAUUCGUCACACUAUCAUUAACUGAAUCCAUAGGUUAAUGAGGCGAACCGGGGGAACUGAAACAUCUAAGUACCCCGAGGAAAAGAAAUCAACCGAGAUUCCCCCAGUAGCGGCGAGCGAACGGGGAGGAGCCCAGAGCCUGAAUCAGUGUGUGUGUUAGUGGAAGCGUCUGGAAAGGCGCGCGAUACAGGGUGACAGCCCCGUACACAAAAAUGCACAUGCUGUGAGCUCGAUGAGUAGGGCGGGACACGUGGUAUCCUGUCUGAAUAUGGGGGGACCAUCCUCCAAGGCUAAAUACUCCUGACUGACCGAUAGUGAACCAGUACCGUGAGGGAAAGGCGAAAAGAACCCCGGCGAGGGGAGUGAAAAAGAACCUGAAACCGUGUACGUACAAGCAGUGGGAGCCUCUUUAUGGGGUGACUGCGUACCUUUUGUAUAAUGGGUCAGCGACUUAUAUUCUGUAGCAAGGUUAACCGAAUAGGGGAGCCGAAGGGAAACCGAGUCUUAACUGGGCGUUAAGUUGCAGGGUAUAGACCCGAAACCCGGUGAUCUAGCCAUGGGCAGGUUGAAGGUUGGGUAACACUAACUGGAGGACCGAACCGACUAAUGUUGAAAAAUUAGCGGAUGACUUGUGGCUGGGGGUGAAAGGCCAAUCAAACCGGGAGAUAGCUGGUUCUCCCCGAAAGCUAUUUAGGUAGCGCCUCGUGAAUUCAUCUCCGGGGGUAGAGCACUGUUUCGGCAAGGGGGUCAUCCCGACUUACCAACCCGAUGCAAACUGCGAAUACCGGAGAAUGUUAUCACGGGAGACACACGGCGGGUGCUAACGUCCGUCGUGAAGAGGGAAACAACCCAGACCGCCAGCUAAGGUCCCAAAGUCAUGGUUAAGUGGGAAACGAUGUGGGAAGGCCCAGACAGCCAGGAUGUUGGCUUAGAAGCAGCCAUCAUUUAAAGAAAGCGUAAUAGCUCACUGGUCGAGUCGGCCUGCGCGGAAGAUGUAACGGGGCUAAACCAUGCACCGAAGCUGCGGCAGCGACACUAUGUGUUGUUGGGUAGGGGAGCGUUCUGUAAGCCUGUGAAGGUGUGCUGUGAGGCAUGCUGGAGGUAUCAGAAGUGCGAAUGCUGACAUAAGUAACGAUAAAGCGGGUGAAAAGCCCGCUCGCCGGAAGACCAAGGGUUCCUGUCCAACGUUAAUCGGGGCAGGGUGAGUCGACCCCUAAGGCGAGGCCGAAAGGCGUAGUCGAUGGGAAACAGGUUAAUAUUCCUGUACUUGGUGUUACUGCGAAGGGGGGACGGAGAAGGCUAUGUUGGCCGGGCGACGGUUGUCCCGGUUUAAGCGUGUAGGCUGGUUUUCCAGGCAAAUCCGGAAAAUCAAGGCUGAGGCGUGAUGACGAGGCACUACGGUGCUGAAGCAACAAAUGCCCUGCUUCCAGGAAAAGCCUCUAAGCAUCAGGUAACAUCAAAUCGUACCCCAAACCGACACAGGUGGUCAGGUAGAGAAUACCAAGGCGCUUGAGAGAACUCGGGUGAAGGAACUAGGCAAAAUGGUGCCGUAACUUCGGGAGAAGGCACGCUGAUAUGUAGGUGAAGUCCCUCGCGGAUGGAGCUGAAAUCAGUCGAAGAUACCAGCUGGCUGCAACUGUUUAUUAAAAACACAGCACUGUGCAAACACGAAAGUGGACGUAUACGGUGUGACGCCUGCCCGGUGCCGGAAGGUUAAUUGAUGGGGUCAGCGCAAGCGAAGCUCUUGAUCGAAGCCCCGGUAAACGGCGGCCGUAACUAUAACGGUCCUAAGGUAGCGAAAUUCCUUGUCGGGUAAGUUCCGACCUGCACGAAUGGCGUAAUGAUGGCCAGGCUGUCUCCACCCGAGACUCAGUGAAAUUGAACUCGCUGUGAAGAUGCAGUGUACCCGCGGCAAGACGGAAAGACCCCGUGAACCUUUACUAUAGCUUGACACUGAACAUUGAGCCUUGAUGUGUAGGAUAGGUGGGAGGCUUUGAAGUGUGGACGCCAGUCUGCAUGGAGCCGACCUUGAAAUACCACCCUUUAAUG